rnacentral:rRNA from 1 species
UCAAGUAAGAGAAGAGCAUUUGGUGAAUGCCUUGGCACUAAGAGGCGAUGAAAGACGUGGCACGCUGCGAUAAGCUUCGGGGAGUUGCGAGCAAACUUUGAUCCGAAGAUUUCUGAAUGGGGAAACCCACCCCUUUAGGGGUAUCCUGCACUGAAUACAUAGGUGUAGGAGGCAAACGAGGCGAACUGAAACAUCUCAGUAGCCUUAGGAAAGGACAUCAACCGAGACUCCGUUAGUAGUGGCGAGCGAACGCGGACCAGGCCAGUGGCCUAUUUGUAAGAACCGGAACCGUCUGGAAAGUCGGGCCAUAGCGGGUGAUAGCCCCGUACGGGUAGAAAGCAGAUAGGUCCUCGAGUAGGGCGGGACACGUGAAAUCCUGUCUGAACGUAGGGGGACCACCCUCUAAGCCUAAGUACUCCUUAGUGACCGAUAGUGAACAAGUACCGUGAGGGAAAGGUGAAAAGCACCCCGACGAGGGGAGUGAAAUAGACCUGAAACCGAAUGCUUACAAGCAGUGGGAGCACCCUUGAGGUGUGACCGCGUACCUUUUGUAUAAUGGGUCAGCGACUUAAUUUAUCGAGCAAGCUUAAGCCGUUAGGUGUAGGCGUAGCGAAAGCGAGUCUUAAUAGGGCGUUUUAGUUCGUUGGAUUAGACCCGAAACCGAGUGAUCUAGCCAUGGGCAGGUUGAAGGUGCAGUAACAUGCACUGGAGGACCGAACCCACCUAUGUUGAAAAAUGGGGGGAUGACCUGUGGUUAGGGGUGAAAGGCCAAUCAAACUCGGAAAUAGCUGGUUCUCCGCGAAAUCUAUUUAGGUAGAGCGUCGUGUAUUGCCAUCGGGGGUAGAGCACUGGAUGGGCUAGGGGAUCUUACCGAUUUACCAAACCCAACCAAACUCCGAAUACCGAUGAGUAAAAGCACGGCAGACAGACAGUGGGUGCUAAGGUCCAUUGUCGAGAGGGAAACAGCCCAGACCGCCAGCUAAGGUCCCUAAAUCACAUCUAAGUGGGAAAGGAUGUGGGAAGGCCAAGACAACCAGGAGGUUGGCUUAGAAGCAGCCAUCCUUUAAAGAAAGCGUAAUAGCUCACUGGUCUAGAUAAGCCGUCCUGCGCCGACGAUGUAACGGGGCUAAAGAUGUGUACCGAAGCUGCGGAUUCAUACCGCAAGGUAUGUCUGGUAGCGGAGCGUUCCGUAAGCCUGUGAAGGUUCACCGCGAGGUGUGCUGGAGGUAUCGGAAGUGAGAAUGCUGACAUGAGUAGCGACAAAGAGGGUGAGAAACCCUCUCGCCGGAAGUCCAAGGGUUCCUGCGCAAGGCUAAUCCGCGCAGGGUGAGUCGGCCCCUAAGGUGAGGGCGAAAGCCGUAGCCGAUGGGAAACAGGUUAAUAUUCCUGUACCUUCUGGAAGUGACGAAUACUGAUAGUCGUAUCCCCUUAUUGGAUUGGUGGAUGCGGCGUAGGUGUUCCGGGAAAUAACUCCAGAGUUUAGACCGUACCCCAAACCGACACAGGUGGACAGGUAGAGAAUACCAAGGCGCUUGAGAGAACGAUGUUGAAGGAACUCGGCAAAAUGCACCCGUAACUUCGGGAUAAGGGUGACCUCCACUUGGGCAACCAGGUGGUGGUGGCACAAAAUUGGGGGUGGCGACUGUUUACUAAAAACACAGGGCUCUGCGAAGUCGCAAGACGACGUAUAGGGUCUGACGCCUGCCCGGUGCUGGAAGGUUAAAAGGAGGGGUGAGAGCUCUGAAUUGAAGCCCCAGUAAACGGCGGCCGUAACUAUAACGGUCCUAAGGUAGCGAAAUUCCUUGUCGGGUAAGUUCCGACCUGCACGAAUGGCGUAACGACUUCCCCGCUGUCUCCAACAUCGACUCAGCGAAAUUGAAUUCUCCGUGAAGAUGCGGAGUACCCGCGGUUAGACGGAAAGACCCCGUGCACCUUUACUAUAGCUUUGCAGUGGUAUUAGGGGACAAAUGUGUAGGAUAGGUGGGAAACUUUGAAGCCGUGGCGCCAGUUGCGGUGGAGUUAACCUUGAAAUACCACCCUUUUGUUCUCUGAUAUCUAACCGUGGCCCGUUAUCCGGGUCCGGGACCCUGCAUGGUGGGUAGUUUGACUGGGGCGGUCGCCUCCCAAAGAGUAACGGAGGCGCGCGAUGGUGGGCUCAAGCUGGUCGGAAAUCAGCUGUCGAGUGCAAUGGCAUAAGCCCGCCUGACUGCGAGACUGACAAGUCGAGCAGAGACGAAAGUCGGUCAUAGUGAUCCGGUGGUCCCGCGUGGAAGGGCCAUCGCUCAACGGAUAAAAGGUACGCCGGGGAUAACAGGCUGAUAAUCCCCAAGAGUCCAUAUCGACGGGAUUGUUUGGCACCUCGAUGUCGGCUCAUCACAUCCUGGGGCUGGAGCAGGUCCCAAGGGUUUGGCUGUUCGCCAAUUAAAGUGGUACGUGAGCUGGGUUUAGAACGUCGUGAGACAGUUCGGUCCCUAUCUGCCGUGGGAGUAGGAUACUUGAGAAGAGUUGCCCCUAGUACGAGAGGACCGGGGUGAACGUACCUCUGGUGUACCAGUUGUUCCGCCAGGAGCAUCGCUGGGUAGCUAAGUACGGACAGGAUAACCGCUGAAAGCAUCUAAGCGGGAAGCCCCCUUCAAUACCAGGUAUCCCUUGAGAGCCGUGGAAGACCACCACGUUGAUAGGCCAGGUGUGGAAGCGUAGUAAUACGUGUAGCUAACUGGUACUAAUUGCUCGAUAGUCUUGAAAAG